rnacentral:rRNA from 1 species
AUGGUUCUACCGGGCGGGACUACCCUCGAGACAGUUAAUCAGCUCAUCGACCCAGAUAACUGGACAUGGCGUCGAGACUUGAUCAGGGACGUGUUUACAGCCCCCGAUGCCGAUGCUAUAUUGAAUAUCCCGUUAAGAACGGGGGGUGGUGAUGAUUUUCUUGCUUGGGCCCAUGAAAGAAGCGGCAUCUACUAUGUAAAAUCGGCGUACCGUGCUCUUGUGACUCAGAAGGAGCUUGCGGCUCUAGAGGAAGGGAUGGUUACCGGCUCCUCACAGACAGAAGAACAGAUGUGGAAGUCAUUAUGGAAGCUCAAGGUCUUGCCAAAGGUUCGUGUUUUCUGGUGGAGAGUGGCGCGUGGAAUUCUUCCAGAUGAAAGUACCUUGAGGCAUCGUCAUAUAAAGGUAAUCAGCAGAUGUAAUGUCUGUAAUGCAAUGGAUGAGGAUCUUAUGCACACCCUAGUGCAUUGCUCCCAUGCCAAGUUGUUCUGGAAACAAGCUUUUGCACUUUUUGAUUUUCGAAGGCUGCGCUUGCACCCUGAUACAUGGUCCCGUGACAUCAUAUGUGACGGGAGGUUCUCUGAUGUUCAAAGGGCUCAAAUGAUCUCCGUAAUGUGGGCCAUAUAG